GGGUUCCUGGCAUGCUGAUU
rnacentral:miRNA from 2 species